rnacentral:sRNA from 1 species
AGCGCCCCGGUCCCCGCCGCAGCCGCUGCAUCCUCCGUGCUCGGCCUGAGCCGGAGUCCCCCGCGCCCCCCGCGUCCCGCCCGGCCAUGGCUGCGGUGGCGCUGAUGCCACCGCCGCUGCUGCUGCUGCUGCUGCUGGCAUCUCCGCCCGCCGCCUCCGCGCAGUCCGCCCGCGAUCCCUUCGCCCCCCAGCUCGGGGACACGCAGAACUGCCAGCUGCGGUGCCGCGACCGCGACCUCGGCCCGCGGCCCUCGCAGGCGGGGCUGGAGGGCGCCUCCGAGUCUCCCUAUGACAGAGCCGUUCUGAUCAGCGCUUGCGAGCGUGGCUGCCGCCUCUUCUCCAUCUGCCGAUUUGUGGCCAGGAGCUCCAAGCCCAAUGCCACCCAAACUGAGUGUGAAGCAGCCUGCGUGGAAGCCUAUGUGAAGGAGGCAGAGCAGCAGGCCUGUAGCCACGGCUGCUGGAGCCAGCCCGCGGAGCCUGAGCUGGAGCAGAAGAGAAAGGUCCUGGAGGCUCCAAGUGGGGCCCUCUCCCUCUUGGACUUGUUUUCCACCCUCUGCAAUGACCUCGUCAACUCAGCCCAGGGAUUUGUCUCCUCCACCUGGACAUACUACUUGCAGACUGACAAUGGGAAGGUGGUGGUGUUUCAGACUCAGCCCGUAGUGGAGAGCCUCGGCUUCCAGGGGGGCCGUCUGCAGCGCGUGGAGGUGACCUGGCGAGGCUCCCACCCUGAAGCCCUGGAGGUGCACGUGGGUAAGGUGCAACCUAGACCAGUGUUCCUUCCAUGGGUGGCCCCACUGCCACAAGGAGUCGGCCUGGCAAACAGACCCUCUAGGAUUGGGAUCUCCAUCUCUCAAGUCCUGGGUUCCACGGCUCAUCCCCCAGGGCUCCAAGGUCCAUUUCCCAGGGUUCCAUGGUCCAUCUACCAAGGAUCCGUGGUCCACCUCCCAGGGUUCCGUGGUCCACCUCCCAGGAAUCCAUGGUUCACUUCCCAGGGUUCUGUGGCCCAUCUCCCUGGGUUCUGUGACCCAUCUCCCAGGGUUCCAUGGUCCAUCUCUCAGAGUUCCAUGGGUUCAUCUCCUAGGGUCAUCUCCUAGGGUCCAUCUCCCAGGGUUCUUUGGUCUAUCGCUCAGGGUUCCAUGGUUCAUCUCCUAGGAUUCUGCAGUUCAUCUCCCAGGGUUCUGUGGCCCAUCCCCCAGGGUUCUGCAGUCCAUCUCCCAGGGUUCCAUGGUCCAUUUCCCAGGGUUCCAUGGUCCAUCUCCCAGGGUUCCGUGUUCCAUCUCCCAGGGUUCCAUGUUCCAACUCCCAGGGUUCCAUGGGUUCAUCUCCUAGGGUCAUCUCCUAGGAUCCAUCUCCCAGGGUUCCAUGGGUUCAUCUUCUAGGGUCAUCUCCUAGGGUCCAUCUCCCAGAGUUCUUUGGUCUAUCUCUC